GAUGAACGCUAGCGGCAGGCCUAAUACAUGCAAGUCGAACGGAUAUAUGUUUUUCGGAAUAUAUAUUAGUGGCGCACGGGUGAGUAACACGUACAUAACUUGCCCUCAAGCGGGGGAUAGCCUUGGGAAACUGAGAGUAAUACCCCAUAGAAUUAUUGGACGGCAUCGUUUGAUAAUUAAAACUACGGUGUUUGGGGAUAGAUGUGCGUCUGAUUAGCUAGUUGGUGAGGUAACUGCUCACCAAGGCGACGAUCAGUAGGGGCGUGAGAGCGUGGCCCCCCACACGGGUACGUGAGACACGGACCGACUCCUACGGGAGGCAGCAGUAAGGAAUAUUGGUUCAAUGGAGGGAACUACUGAACCAGCCACUGCCGCGUGAAGGAA
rnacentral:rRNA from 1 species